UUUAAAGAGAGUUUGAUCCUGGCUCAGGAUGAACGCUGGCGGCGUGCCUAAUACAUGCAAGUCGAACGAACGGAGGAAGAGCUUGCUCUUCCAAAGUUAGUGGCGGACGGGUGAGUAACACGUGGGCAACCUGCCUGUAAGUUGGGGAUAACUCCGGGAAACCGGGGCUAAUACCGAAUGAUAGAGUGUGGCGCAUGCCACGCUUUUGAAAGAUGGUUUCGGCUAUCGCUUACAGAUGGGCCCGCGGUGCAUUAGCUAGUUGGUAGGGUAAUGGCCUACCAAGGCAACGAUGCAUAGCCGACCUGAGAGGGUGAUCGGCCACACUGGGACUGAGACACGGCCCAGACUCCUACGGGAGGCAGCAGUAGGGAAUCUUCCGCAAUGGACGAAAGUCUGACGGAGCAACGCCGCGUGUAUGAAGAAGGUUUUCGGAUCGUAAAGUACUGUUGUUAGAGAAGAA
rnacentral:rRNA from 1 species